CAGCCGCCGCGGGAAUACCGAGGGUGCGAGCGUUAAUCGGAUUUACUGGGCGUAAAGCGUGCGUAGGCGGCUUUUUAAGUCGGAUGUGAAAUCCCUGAGCUUAACUUAGGAAUUGCAUUCGAUACUGGGAAGCUAGAGUAUGGGAGAGGAUGGUAGAAUUCCAGGUGUAGCGGUGAAAUGCGUAGAGAUCUGGAGGAAUACCGAUGGCGAAGGCAGCCAUCUGGCCUAAUACUGACGCUGAGGUACGAAAGCAUGGGGAGCAAACAGGAUUAGAUACCCGCGUAGUCCCUGUCUCUUAUAA
rnacentral:rRNA from 1 species